rnacentral:rRNA from 1 species
UACGGAGGGUGCAAGCGUUAUCCGGAUUCACUGGGUUUAAAGGGGGCGUAGGAGGGCAGGUAAGUCAGUGGUGAAAUCUCCGAGCUUAACUUGGAAACUGCCGUUGAUACUAUCUGUCUUGAAUAUUGUGGAGGUGAGCGGAAUAUGUCAUGUAGCGGUGAAAUGCUUAGAUAUGACAUAGAACACCAAUUGCGAAGGCAGCUCGCUACACAUAUAUUGACUCUGAGGCACGAAAGCGUGGGGAUCAAACAGG